UGGGAGUUUGGGUGUCCAGUCUAGGUAACUACAACCCAGGGACUAGCAGAAAAAUGCAGAUGAGGUUACCAAACUAUUGUUGAUUUCGUGAACAGUGACAGAGUGAAACAGAUGCCAGAAUCCUGGACACACUGGUACCCACAGAUUCAACUUCCAGAGGAGGCAUCCACCACAGGUAGACAGAUGCUAACUCUGGGCUGACGUCUCAGUCUUCAUAAAAGAACGCAUUGAUCCCUGGAAGCCAACACAGGCCUGCCGUGAACAAAUCUGGUCUUGGCUUGACUUCAUUUCCUUUUAGAUGGGGCUCCUAAGAGAAUUUCUGCAAAAAGUUUGCCAGGUUCUAGGCCUCUUGUGAGAGCUUUGUAGACGAAAUGGAGAAAUAGAAGCUGAUGUAUAUAGUGCAUUUGGUUGGAGUCCUAGCCAGUUAAAUAUCCUAAUCCCCAGGAGGUGGUGCCGUUGAGGAGGAGACAGUUCUGUGUGUGUCCUGUCCUGUGGUGGCUCCCAUUCCCACUGGCAUCCCUCUCACAUUGACACAAUGUGUGAGAGACUUAAAAUCAGGAGAGAUAAUAGAUAAAUGUGUGUCAUGACCAAGUCAGGACCUCAAAAGAUUUUGAUACAUUUGGACAGUGGGCCACAUUCAACAACAUCUAUUUAACAUAGACAAUGUUAAGUCAUGUCAGGCAUUAGCCAUGCACCCAGCC
rnacentral:lncRNA from 10 species